rnacentral:lncRNA from 1 species
CUCGGCCGGGUUUUCCUGCUCUCUGCAGUUUUCUUGGCUUUCGUCACCACCUUCAUCAUGAUGCCCUUUGCAUCCGAGUUCUUCCCGAGGACCUGGAAGCAAAACUUUGUGUUAGCCUGCAUCAGCUUCUUCACAGGUACCAUCUGCCUCAUUCAAGAAAUGGUUUGCCCUUGCUGGCACUUGUUGUCCACUUCCCAGAGUAUGGAGGAGGACCACGGGAGCCUGUACCUGGACAAUCUGGAGAGUUUGGGAGGAGAACCGAGCUCAGUACAAAAGGAGACACAGGUGACAGCAGAAACAGUCAUCUAGCCCAGGACAUGGCUUCUUUACCCUUCUUCAAGCCAUGUGAGUGUACACAUGUAGCUGUUUGUAGUCCUCCCCACCCUCUCUGCCAGUAUCUGUGCCUUUGAGGAGCUUCUUGCGUGUCAGAUCAACUCUCCACCUCCCCAUACUCACAGUGAUUCUAUCUUGCUUGUAUGUGAAAUUUGCUAAAAGUCCUUUCAACUCUUCUGAGCUUCCUAAGUGACGUUUUUGCAGGUAUUUUCAAUAAAAAGAAAGGCUACUUUGUUCAUC